AAUCAACGCUGGCGGCGCGCCUAACACAUGCAAGUCGAACGAGAAAGCGGGAGCAAUCUCGCAAGUACAGUGGCGUACGGGUGAGUAACACGUGGAUGAUCUGCCCUGGAGUGGGGAAUAACGCUGGGAAACCGGCGCUAAUACCGCAUAUUCCCGAGAGGGGAAAGCAGCAAUGCGCUCGAGGAGGAGUCCGCGGCCGAUUAGCUAGUUGGCAGGGUAAAAGCCUACCAAGGCUAUGAUCGGUAGCCGGCCUGAGAGGGCACACGGCCACACUGGCACUGAAACACGGGCCAGACUCCUACGGGAGGCAGCAGUGGGGAAUCUUGCACAAUGGGGGCAACCCUGAUGCAGCGACGCCGCGUGAGCGAUGAAGCCCUUCGGGGUGUAAAGCUCUUUCGGCAGGGACGAUUAUGACGGUACCUGCAGAAGCAGCUGCGGCUAACUACGUGCCAGCAGCCGCGGUAAUACGUAGGCAGCAAGCGUUGUUCGGAGUUACUGGGCGUAAAGGGUGUGUAGGCGGCCUGUUAAGUUCCGUGUGAAAUCUCCCGGCUCAACCGGGAGGGUGCGCGGAGUACUGACGGGCUAGAGUGCGGGAUGGGAGAGUAGAAUUCCUGGUGUAGCGGUGAAAUGCGUAGAUAUCAGGAGGAAUACCGGUGGUGUAGACGGCUCUCUGGACCGCAACUGACGCUGAGACACGAAAGCGUGGGUAGCAAACAGGAUUAGAUACCCUGGUAGUCCACGCCCUAAACGAUGCAUAUUUGGUGUAGGUCAUUCAGUUGAUCUGUGCCGGAGCUAACGCGUUAAAUAUGCCGCCUGGGGAGUACAGUCGCAAGGCUG
rnacentral:rRNA from 1 species